CGAACGGGUGAGUAACACGUGACCAACCUGCCUCGCACAUCGGGAUAACUGCCGGAAACGGCAGCUAAUACCGGAUACUAUCCCCCUUCCGCAUGGGAGGAGGAUGAAAGCUUUCGCGGUGCGAGAUGGGGUCGCGGCCCAUCAGGUAGUAGGUGGGGCAGCAGCCCACCUAGCCUACGACGGGUAGCCGGACUGAGAGGUCGAUCGGCCACAUUGGGACUGAGAUACGGCCCAGACUCCUACGGAAGGCAGCAG
rnacentral:rRNA from 1 species